AUUGAACGCUGGCGGCAGGCCUAACACAUGCAAGUCGAACGAGUGGCAGACGGGUGAGUAAUGUCUGGGAAACUGCCUGAUGGAGGGGGAUAACUACUGGAAACGGUAGCUAAUAACGCAUACCAUCAGAUGUGCCCAGAUGGGAUUAGCUAGUUGGUGGGGUAACGGCUCACCAAGGCGACGAUCCCUAGCUGGUCUGCGAGGAUGACCGGCCAAACGGGACCUGAGACACGGUCCAGACGCCUACGGAAGGAAGCAGUGGGGAAUUUUGCACAAUGGGCGAAAGCCUGAUGCAGCCAUGCCGCGUGUAUGAAGAAGGCCUUCGGGUUGUAAAGUAAUUUCAGCGGGGAGGCGUUACCCGCAGAAGAAGCACCGGCUAACUCCGUGCCAGCAGCCGCGGUAAUUC
rnacentral:rRNA from 1 species